UGCAUUCACUACUGUAAGUCACUCUGGAUAAGAGUGUCUGCUAAAGUGACUAAAC
rfam:Salmo salar isolate Sally breed double haploid chromosome ssa19, whole genome shotgun sequence.